GCGGGGGUUGCCGAGACUGGUCAAAGGCGCUGGACUUAAGAUCUCAGAAAAAGGGUUCGAGCCUUUGAUAAGAAAUCCAGUUCAGAAGUGAUGCGUGGGUUCAAAUCCCAUCCCCCGCA
rfam:Thermoplasmatales archaeon DG-70-1 WOR1_52_54_1796, whole genome shotgun sequence.